rnacentral:rRNA from 1 species
GAUCAAAAAGUAAAGUGCUUCAGGCGGAUACCUAAGGACUCAAAGAUGAUGAAGGGCAUAUAAACCUGUGAAAAGUUCUAGUAAGUUGGAAAAAAACAAUUAAGGCAGCUCCCGAAGGGAGCCAUAACUAGAAAUUCCCGAAUAGAGCAAUCUUUAAAACUACUGAAAAAUUCAUAAAUCAGUAAGAAAUAACUUAGUGAACUGAAACAUCUUAGUAACUAAAGGAAAAAAAAGCAAAAGCGAUUUCCUAAGUAGUGGCGAGCGAAAAGGAAAAGAGCCUAAACUGAAACUCAGGGUUGUGGGAGAAUAAUAAAAAAAAGUUUAAGCAGCUGAAACCUGCACCAGAGAUGGUAAAAGUCCAGUUUUUUGCCCCCUAUGGGGGCCUAGGCCGCGGCGUGCUGCGGCAAUUAUUUUAUAUCCCGAGUAGCUUGGGACACGUGAAAUCCCUUGUGAAUCAGCGAGGACCACCUCGUAAGGCUAAAUACUCUUGAGUCACUGAUAGUGAAAAGUACCGUGAGGGAAAGGUGAAAAAGAACCCCUAUUGGGGAGUGAAAGAGAUCAUGAAAUCUGAAGCAUUCAAUCUGUGGGAGGGUAGAGAUCUGACCAUGUGCCUGUUGAAGAAUGAGCCGGCGACUCAUAGUUUUUGGCUUGGUUAAGGAAAUUUUCUGUAGCCAGAGUGAAAACGAGUUUAAAAAAGCGAAAUAAAUGUCAAAAGUUAUGGACCCGAACCCGAGUGAUCUAACCAUGACCAGGAAGAAGCUGAGAUAAAACUUAGUGGACGUCCGAACCGACCGAUGUUGAAAAAUCGCCGGAUGAGUUGUGGUUAGCGGUGAAAUGCCAAUCGAACUCGGAGCUAGCUGGUUCUCCCCGAAAUGCGUUGUGGCGCAGCAAAAAACAUUAAGGGGUAGAGCACUGUUUCAGUACGGGCCAGUCAAAUGGUACUAAAUUGUCGCAAACUCCGAAUACUUAAUGUAAUUAAAAAGUGAGACAUUGGGGGAUAAGCUCCAAUGUCGAGAGGGAAACAGCCCAGAUCAUCAGAUAAGGCCCCUAAAUAAUAACUAAGUGUUAAAGGAAGUAUCAACGCUGAAACACCCAGAAGGUUCGCUUAGAAGCAGCUAUCCUUGAAAGAAUGCGUAAUAGCUCACUGGUUGCUCCCCCCCCGAAGGGGGGGCGAGCGUCGAUGCGCCGAAAAUGUCCGGGACUAAGUUAUUUGCCGAAGCUGUGGGUUGUCUUCUGCCCCUAUGGGGGUCAGCGAGGCAACAGUAGGGGAGCGUUCUGUUUAAGGUGAAGACUCAUUGAAAAAGAGGGUGGAUUAAACAGAAGCGAGAAUGUUGGCUUGAGUAACGCAAACAUUGGUGAGAAUCCAAUGCCCCGAAAACCUAAGGUUUCCUUUACAAGGUUCGUCCAUGAAGGGUUAGUCAGGACCUAAGAUAAGACUGAAAAGUGUAAUCGAUGGAAAACAGAUGAAUAUUUCUGUACUUAUUUUAAUUGGGUGACAAAGGACAAAAGAGGCAAUUUUUAAUUGGUUGCAAAAAUGGUAGCAAUGGAAGUGCUCGACAAAAAAUAAAAGCAAAGAAACUUUUAUUAAAUGAAGACAUUAUACACUAGAGGCCUCCCCUAAAGGAGGUGCUUUAGCUAACCAAAAAUUGUCAUAUUUUCAAGAAAAGUUUGAGACACUUUUCAAUUAAAAUAACCUGUACCGCAAACCAACACAGGUAGGUAAGUUGAGUAUACUCAGGGGCGCGAGAGAACUCUCUCUAAGGAACUCGGCAAAAUAGCCCCGUAACUUCGGGAGAAGGGGUGCCUCAUUUCAAAUUGAGGCCGCAGUGAAAUAAUUCAUUGAACUGUUUAUCAAAAACAUAGGUCUCCGCUAAGUCGUAAGAUAAUGUAUGGGGGCUGACGCCUGCCCAGUGCCGGAAGGUUAAGGAAAUUGGUGAAAUGCUAAUGACUGAAGCCCCGGUGAACGGCGGCCGUAACUCUGUGAACCAAGCGAAAUUCCUUGUCACGUAAGUUGUGACCCGCACGAAAGGCGUAAUCAAAUGAAUACUGUCUCGGAGAGAGACUCGGUGAAAUAGACAUAUCCGUGAAGAUGCGGAUUACUAAUCGUUAGACACGAAGACCCCGUGCAGCUUGACUGUAUUUUGAUAUUGGUUUCCAGUUAUUUUUGUGCAGUCUAGGUGGGAGUGCAUUUUUUGUGCAAUAUUGAGAGACCACUCUGAAAUAACUAGAAUUCUAAAAGUGAUUCCUUGAAACAGGACACUUGACAGUGUCAGGUGGGCAGUUUUUCUGGGGCGGAAUUCUCCCAAAAAGUAACGGAGAUUUGCAAAGGUUCCCUCAAACUGGACGGAAAUCAGUUGUUGAGUGUAAAGGCAAAAGGGAGCUUGACUGUAAGACUUAUAAGUCAAACAGAGGCGAAAGCCGGCCUUAGUGAUCCGACGGUAUUAUACCUUGUGGAUGGGCCGUCGCACAAAAGAUAAAAGUUACGCCGGGGAUAACAGGCUCAUCUUCCCCAAGAGUUCAUAUCGACGGGAAGGUUUGGCACCUCGAUGUCGACUUUUCGCAACCUGGGGCGGUAGUACGUCCCAAGGGUUGGGCUGUUCGCCCAUUAAAGCGGAACACGAGUUGGGUUCAAAGAGACAGUUUGGUCUAUAUCUGCGAUUAGCGAUAGAAUAUUGAAAGGAUUUUUCCAUAAUACGAGAGGACUUGGAAGAACAUACCUCUGGUCUACCAGUUCUUAUACCAAUAGGAUACGCUGGGUAGCUAUGUAUGGAGUAGAGUACCGCUGAAAGCAUCUAAGUGGGAAACUCACCUUAAGAUGAAUAUUCUCUAGAAGAUUCCGGUAAGAUCAACCGGUUGAUAGGUUUUAAGUGUAAGAAGUGAGAGCUUCUAAGCUAAGAAAUACUAACUAUCGAUUGUUUUUGAU